GUGCUCACUUCGGCGGCACAUGAGGUGAAACUGAAACGAUACAGAGAAGAGUAGCCUGGCCCCUGUGCAGGAGUCACGCACAGUCCACGGAGUGUCCAUGUUUGU